GAUGAACGCUGGCGGCGUGGAUAAGGCAUGCAAGUCGAAUGGUGAGAGCAAUCGAACCAUGGCGAACGAGGUAGUAACACGUAGGUACGCACCCUUUAGUUGAGCAUAAUCCCGCGAAAGCGGGGACAAUUCUCAAUGGUCCCUGAGACUUCGGUCGAAGGGUAAAGAUUUAUCGCUAAAGGAGCGGCCUGCGACCUAUCAGCUAGUUGGUGAGGUAAUGGCUUACCAAGGCUAUGACGGGUAGGGGGAGUGAGAGCUCGAUCCCCACCGAUGGAACUGAGAAACGGUCCAUACACCUACGGGUGGCCGCAGUCGAGAAUCUUCCGCAAUGGGCGAAAGCCUGACGGAGCGACGCCGCGUGGUUGAUGAAGUCCUUCGGGACGUAAAAACCUUUUAUGACUAAGAAAGUUUAUUGAUCUGGUCAUGAAUAAGGGGCUCCAAACUCUGUGCCAGCAGGAGCGGUAAUACAGAGGCCCCAAGCGUUGUCCGGAAUCACUGGGCGUAAAGGGUGUGUAGGUGGUUUUGUUAGUCUCUCGUUAAAGCUCCCGACUCAAUCGGGAAAAUGCGAGGGAAACGGCAAAACUACGAGGAUGUGAGAGGUAUAUGGAACUCAUGGAGUAGGGGUGAAAUCCGUUGAUAUCAUGGGGAACACCAAAAGCGAAGGCAAUAUACUGGCGCAUUCCUGACACUGAAACACGAAAGCGUAGGUAGCGAAUGGGAUUAGAUACCCCAGUAGUCUACGCCCUAAACGAUGAUCGCUGGCUUUUCGGAGUAUCGACCCUCUGAGAGGCGAAGCUAACGCGUUAAGCGAUCCGCCUGGGUAGUACGAUCGCAAGAUUA
rnacentral:rRNA from 1 species